rnacentral:rRNA from 1 species
AUUGAACGCUGGCGGCAUGCUUUACACAUGCAAGUCGAACGGUAACAGGCCGCAAGGUGCUGACGAGUGGCGAACGGGUGAGUAAUGCAUCGGAACGUGCCCAGUCGUGGGGGAUAACGCAGCGAAAGCUGCGCUAAUACCGCAUACGAUCUAUGGAUGAAAGCGGGGGACCGUAAGGCCUCGCGCGAUUGGAGCGGCCGAUGUCAGAUUAGGUAGUUGGUGGGGUAAAGGCUCACCAAGCCAACGAUCUGUAGCUGGUCUGAGAGGAAGACCAGCCACACUGGGACUGAGACACGGCCCAGAGUCCUAAGGGAGGCAGAAGUGGGGAAUUUUGGACAAUGGGCGCAAGCCUGAUCCAGCAAUGCCGCGUGCAGGAAGAAGGCCUUCGGGUUGUAAACUGCUUUUGUACGGAACGAAACGGCUCUGGUUAAUACCUGGGGCUAAUGACGGUACCGUAAGAAUAAGCACCGGCUAACUACGUGUCAGCAGCCGCGGUAAUAC